rnacentral:snRNA from 1 species
GUCACGAUACAGAGAAGAUUAGCAUGGCCCCUGCGCAAGGAUGAUACAGGAAGUUUUAAGCAAACAGGAAAACUG